GGGAGAGGAAGGAGUUGGUAAGCCCCUUUGAGUCUCUUUACAGGAGAGAAAGGUGGGGUAUAAAUCCAAACUCCUCUUCUUGAAUUCGUGAAACGAAUAUACCACAAAUGUUCUGACUAAUAUCUCCACUGCUUCUUCACCCUUUUUUCUAAAGUUGGAAGCUGGGCUCUCCCUUAGACAGAAAGCCAGAUUUCGGGUGAAAAACACACUUUGGGAGUAUGUAGAGGUGGCCAUAAGGACGGGAGAGACCCAAUUGAGCCCUUCUCCCCUUCUCAUUGCAGAGAAACACAUGGAAAGAACGGGAAUACUUGAAUAUCAGAUACCUUCCCAUGGAGAAACCCAGGUCCCCUUCGCCAGGGGACGACGAUGAAUCUUCUUCCAUGUACGAGAACCUCAAUAUCAGAACCCCAAAGGUUUUAGAGAGGAACAGUUCUGGGAGAUAGCGGCUCAAGAAGAGCAUGGAUGGUGACGGCCUUCAGGACUUAAAACCAGAGUUACGCCCUUCCCCUUUCUUCACUGUCUGUUGCUGCCGCUGCUGCCUUGCUGCCGCCGCCGCCGUGUUCCUCCGUUCCCAAAGCACCUUGGAUUCAGCACAGAAAACCCAAAGAAUCUCUGCUGGGAGGGGGGGUUGCCUUAAAGAGGUUGGCACACCCCGGCUUAACUUAUUCAGGAGAGACACAAACUUUUUUGCCUGUUUCCUCCCCCCCUCCCCACCAAUUAUCUGCAAGUGCCUCUGGAUUAUUACAAUCGAAAAUAUGGCUCUCCUCUUCAAUUUGGUUUUUUUUUUUUGUAAUAUAAAAAUACCAAGUGCA